GAUGAACGCUAGCUACAGGCUUAACACAUGCAAGUCGAGGGGUAGCAGGGCAGCAAUACCGCUGACGACCGGCGCACGGGUGAGUAACACGUAUCCAACCUUCCCAUAACUCGGGGAUAGCCUUUCGAAAGAAAGAUUAAUACCCGAUAGUACUUUUUCAAGGCAUCUUGAGAAAGUUAAAGAUUUAUUGGUUAUGGAUGGGGAUGCGUUCCAUUAGAUAGUUGGUGAGGUAACGGCUCACCAAGUCUUCGAUGGAUAGGGGUUCUGAGAGGAAGGGCCCCCACAUUGGUACUGAGACACGGACCAAACUCCGACGGGAGGCAGCAGUGAGGAAUAUUGGUCAAUGGGCGAGAGCCUGAACCAGCCAAGUAGCGUGAAGGAUGAAGGUCCUAUGGAUUGUAAACUUCUUUUAUAGUAGAAUAAAGUGACCUACGUGUAGGUUUUUGUAUGUAUACUAUGAAUAAGGAUCGGCUAACUCCGUGCCAGCCGCCGCGGUAA
rnacentral:rRNA from 1 species